rnacentral:rRNA from 1 species
GACGAACGCUGGCGGCGUGCUUAACACAUGCAAGUCGAGCGAGAGACUUCGGUCUCUAGCGGCGGACGGGUGAGUAACACGUGGGUAACCUGCCUCAUAGAGGGGGAUAGCCUCCCGCAAGGGAGAUUAAUACCGCAUAACAUCAUGCUUUCGCAUGAGAGUAUGAUCAAAGGAGCAAUCUGCUAUGAGAUGGACCCGAGGCGCAUUAGCUAGUUGGUGAGGUAACGGCUCACCAAGGCGACGAUGCGUAGCCGACCUGAGAGGGUGAUCGGCCACAUUGGAACUGAGACACGGUCCAGACUCCUACGGGAGGCAGCAGUGGGGAAUAUUGCACAAUGGGCGAAAGCCUGAUGCAGCAACGCCGCGUGAGUGAUGAAGGCCUUCGGGUUGUAAAGCUCUGUCUUUUGGGACGAUAAUGACGGUACCAAAGGAGGAAGCCACGGCUAACUACGUGCCAGCAGCCGCAGUAACAC